GAAACAUUUGAAGUGACUUAGUGGCGGACGGGUGAGUAACGCGUGGGUAACCUGCCCUGUACUGGGGGACAACAGUUGGAAACGGCUGCUAAUACCGCAUAAGCGCACAGCAUCGCAUGGUGCAGUGUGAAAAACUCCGGUGGUACAGGAUGGACCCGCGUCUGAUUAGCUAGUUGGUGGGGUAACGGCCUACCAAGGCGACGAUCAGUAGCCGGCCUGAGAGGGUGAACGGCCACAUUGGGACUGAGACACGGCCCAGACUCCUACGGGAGGCAGCAGUGGGGAAUAUUGCACAAUGGGCGCAAGCCUGAUGCAGCGACGCCGCGUGAGUGAUGAAGUAUUUCGGUAUGUAAAGCUCUAUCAGCAGGGAAGAAAAUGACGGUACCUGACUAAGAAGCACCGGCUAAAUACGUGCCAGCAGCCGCGGUAAUACGUAUGGUGCAAGCGUUAUCCGGAUUUACUGGGUGUAAAGGGAGCGUAGGCGGCAUGGCAAGUCAGAUGUGAAAGCCCGGGGCCCAACCCCGGAACUGCAUUUGAAACUGUCAGGCUAGAGUACCGGAGAGGUAAGCAGAAUUCCUAGUGUAGCGGUGAAAUGCGUAGAUAUUAGGAGGAACACCAGUGGCGAAGGCGGCUUACUGGACGGUAACUGACGCUGAGGCUCGAAAGCGUGGGGAGCAAACAGGAUUAGAUACCCU
rnacentral:rRNA from 1 species